UACGUAGGCAGCGAGCGUUGUUCGGAGUUACUGGGCGUAAAGAGUGCGUAGGCGGUUUUCUAAGUUUGGUGUGAAAUCUCCCGGCUUAACUGGGAGGGUGCGCCGAAAACUGGAAGGCUUGAGUAUGGGAGAGGUAAGCGGAAUUCCUGGUGUAGCGGUGAAAUGCGUAGAUAUCAGGAGGAACACCGAUGGCGAAGGCAGGUCUCUGGGCCACUACUGACGCUGAGAAGCGAAAGCAUGGGGAGCGAACAGG
rnacentral:rRNA from 1 species